ACUUGCUCUGCACAGGAUUGCCACAAACCUUCAAUUUGUAAAAACCCCAGUAUCUGCAAAGCACGGUAACGUGAAGCAAAAUAAAACAAGAUGUGCCUAUAUAUUAUCUAUGAAUUACAGGGACAUUACUAAGUAUUAAAUAUUUGUUAUAUAAAGGAGAUGCUGGUUUUCAAAGGGUUGAGAACCACUGUACUAACUACUGAUGAUUCUCUGUCCUCUAAGCCCCAACCCGUAUUUGUCCAGUGUUCUACUGGAGAGCUCAGAUAUCACAUCGCAUUCUGAGUGUAACAUGUCCAAAGCAAAACUCAUUGUUUGGUUCCACAAAACCACUUCCUUGUGCUUAGUUCCCAAGUAUUAUGCUCUUGCUCACCAUCCCCCUCAUUUAAUUGGUUAGCAAUAUUAUUUUUCUACCUGCUUAACAUCACUUGCUACUGUCUGCUCCUUUCCAUCCCCAUACUAUGCUACAGUUUAGAUGCUUAUAUUCUUACCCCUGGGACCUUGCAACAUUCUCCUCUGGGCUUCUCUGCUGCCCUUAUGUCUCUCUUAUUCAUAGGCUAUCUAAAUAUUAGUCAUAGCAUGAAUAUCAAAUAACAGACAGCCUGUCCUGGGACUUCUCAGCCUCCAUAAUCAUGUAAGCCAAUUCUCCUAAUAAAUCUCUCAUCUGACUAUCUGUCUAUCUAUUUGUUUAUCUAUCAGUUAUCUCUUAUUAGUUCUAUUGGUUCUGUCUCUCUGAAGAAUCCUAACUAAUACAGACUUUGGUACCAGGACUAGUUCUAGAGGAGCAGAAUUUUAAGGAUGAAUUUCCUUCAUUGGUUUUGGGGUUGGGGAAUUGGCUCUCUAAUCUGAUUAGACUUAAAAUGCUAGAGUCUCUACCUUUAGAGCAGAGAGCUCUAAUAGUACAGAGAUCACUGAUAGUCUCUGGCAUGAACUGUUUAUAGAGAUAUGUAAAAUAAAUAGAUUUGAUACUCCUAAUUCACCACUUAUAAGAGGUAAAGAAUUUUGUGACUCUCUAUGUAAUAUUCUUGAACAUUUGGGGGAAAGCAAGGGAAUAUGAUGACAAUGGUUGGUUGCCCCUAGCAUGGCUGGACGCAGUGAUGAAAGAAAUGGGUGAGCUCAUGGAUUCAAUUUCUUGGGUCCAGCUCCACAUAAAUGACCCGAGAGUUUCAAUGUGUGCCCUGAGUCAGAAUCUUCUCCCCACAAGGCUGAAAUUGCCAAAAAUCAAACACUAGCCCUCAUCCUGCAAUUGGCUAAAUUAUGAAGAAAGUUUAAUUCUCAGCCUUGUAGAGUGUCUCCUGUUCAAGUGAGGGCCUGGGCUGGGAGAGCAUGGAAUCCCACAAAUUAAGAUGGGGACAUAUCAAAGGACCCUGACGAACCUGAAGACAUUGAGCUCCUAAAUUCUGCUGAGUCCUGUUUGCUAGACAUGACUGUCCCAUCCCCACCCCCAGCCCCAGAGGCAGUGACACCCCCACCCACAGUGUUAUCCGCCUUUCCACUUCUGUCCCCGAGGGUAUUGACUCUGCAUUGCCUGAGGAAUUGCUAGUGGUUUUCCCUCAGGCAGUUGCCAACCAAGACAAAGCUGAUUCUUCUCAGGACCCACCCCCGCCACCCUUCUCUGCUUCUAGACCUGUGACUAGACUCAAGUCCCAGAAGGCCUCUAAACAUGAAGUACAAAGUAUGACCCAUGACUAGGUGAGCUGUUCCCCAAAAGAACUACUUGAGUUUUCUAAUUUAUUUAAGGAGAAAUAUGGAGAACAUGUGUGGUAAUGAACAUAAAGAGUGUGGAAUAGUGGUGGAAGGAACAUAAAGUUGGGUUAGGCUGAAUUGGUUGAUAUGGGCCCACUAAGCGGAGAGCUUAAUGUUGAAGCUAGGGAGUUAGGAAAGGGGCUAACUGAUUGGCUGAAACAUGCAUGCAAAGAUGGCCCAUGGAGAGCAAGCUGGAGAUGCCUCAUCUCCCUUGGUUUCCCAUAGCGGAAGGGAUCCAAGGGCUCAGGGAGAUGGGAAUGCAAGAGUGAAUUUGCCAGGUAAAACCUGCUCGCCUACACUGGGAAGGUCCAGCAGACACACCUUUCACCGGUGCCUUGAGAAAUGCAUUUGUAAGGGGAGCCACAGCAUCCCCGAAGAGCUCCAUGAGUGCUCUUUUCUGUAUGCCUGACCUUACAGUGGGAACACUCACUCAAUUGAAAAACUCUAAGUGCAAUGGGAAUAAUUGGAUUCUGGAGUGGCAGCGGCCGAGUGCUGGCACUCCACCAUCAAAGGCAAGCUGGGCAUAGUGACCGAAACGGACAGCAGAGGCAAAGCAAUAAUCAGAAUAGUCUGACUCAUGUAGAUUCCUUUAUACAAGGGAAUCCACUCCAGAGAUAACAAUCCCACUCCUGGCAUUAAUCCAUGUACCCUGCCCUCAUGGCCUAAUCAUCUCCCAUUGGGCCCCACCUCCCAGCACUGUUGCAUUGGAGAUUAAGUUUCCAACACAUGCUCUUUGGGGGAAAUAUUCAAGCCACAGUACAUACGUAAUGGAAGUGAGGAGAUGAUGGCAUCAUAGAACUUCAGAGCUGGAAGAGACUUCUGAGCUUUAAUCCAGUCUAUCAUUUUAUAGAAGAGGAAACUGAGUAGAGGAGAUACCUUGAAGGCAAGUUACAGCAGAGCUAGACUAGAACCUAAAUUCCCUGGUAGGAAUACUGCAACACACACACACACACACACACACACACACGUAUGUGCCCGCAUACGCAGAGAGAGUAAGAAAGUGCAAUACGACGUGCAUGAAACAUUAAUGUUUAGCCGGUAAAUGAAACCCUAUUUAAAAACUGAGGCUACUAGUGAAGUGGUUAAGACCAGCCUUGGACAAGUAACUUCGACUCUGUGCCUCCGGGAUAAUACAGUCUACCUUGCAGGGUAUCGUGGGAAUCAUAAAUGAUAUAUGGUAACCCCCCAUCAGCUAGGGAUGCUUUCGGUUGCAAGCAACAUAAAUCCUAACUGAUGGUAUCUUAAACAAAUAAGGGUUUGUUUUUGUCCUUUUAAAAGCAUGGAGGCAGGUGGCUGCUGGCAUUGUCCAGUGGCAAAUGUCACUGAAAGUUUCUUGACCUUUCCUUUAUGUUUGUGGCCUCAUGGUGGCCAAAUAACUGUUAAAGUUCCAGGUGGUGUAUGUGUAUUCAAGGCUGGAAUAGGGGGAAAUGAAGAAAGGCUCUUCUAGGCACAUCUAUCCCUCAUUCCGGGGACAGCGAGUUCACCUCGAAGUGCCCCAGAAGAGUUCUGCUUAUGCCUCAUGGCCCCAGUGCCAUCCAUCAUAUUAUCCCUAGCUAGCUAGAUAAAAAGCUACAUAAAGCAAAAUAUUUUGCUUUAAAGUAUCUGUGGGAAAGGGAGUUGGGAAUAGCUUUUUAGUAACCCAUGCACAGGACCUGCCACAAGAACCUACCAUAUGAGAGACUUAUUAAAGGGUAGUUUCUGGAAUUUUAAAUAAACCUUUGAAGUUUGCUGUGAAUCUAUCCAGUCAUCUUGACCUUCAACAAUGAACUUUUCACUACAAAGAGUCAACAAGAAAGCAUUAACUGGUUUUGGUGUGCAGUUUGUAGCUCCAUCUCAUUACUUACUUUUCACAUUUUAUAGAUUUCUUGAGAUUGCCCUGGGAUUAUGGGAAUUUGGUGACUCGGGUCAUGAACUCCAUUAUUUUGGCAUUAGCCUUCAAGGCAAAGAUCCAGUAUUAAACUGGUCUUUAUAUCUAUUUUUAACAUCUUGGGUUUGGAGGUAAAGGAGAUUGGAUGAAACCCCAAAACUCAUUGAAGAUUGUGAAAUAAAGGGAAAAUGUAAGUGGAAGCAUGAAGUUUCAGUGUGUUCUUUAUCAUCCUUAACAGCUUAAAUAAAAUGACUGACUAUUCUCGGAGUCAAAAAUAAUUCAGGAUUUAAUUGGCAAAGGUAUUUUAAGGUUCUGUCGUUUUCUAUUUUUCUCCUGCCUUGGUAAAGCUAUGAGUUAUGUUGUAAGCACUGAGCAUCUUGAAAUAGUAGUUACUAAGACAACGUAUUCAAUUAAGAAUUAAUUGGAUUUUGAAAAAUUCUCCUGCGUGCACAUAUAAACAUAUAGGUAUUGUGUUUCUCAUUUUGCCUUGGCACAACUUCUUCCUAAGGGAUGCCUGUAUAUUCUUUACAUUCUUAAAAUGAACAUUUUUGCAUCUCCAUAAGUAAACAGAAUACUUUUAACAUGAUAAAGGAUUGCCUUCCUGGGGGAAAGUUACUUAUUACAGAUUACAGAGCCAUAUUAUAUAUGUAUGAGUAGGUCUUCAGGCUGGCUUCCACCAAAUUUCAGUAAAUAGCUACUUUUAUCUAAAAGUUGAUCCAUGAGUUCCCAUGAUUAUUUGCCAACAAUGCCUGGGCUUGUUUUCUGUAUGCUUUCCUUAAUUCCUUGUGGGCAAAUGAGGUUCCCCUAAAGUGGUAAAUUUUGCAUCUCGAAUUUGAGCUAUGUAAGAGCUGGCAAGUGCUACUGAUGAUAUGAACUAAAUAGUCAAGUAGAAUAUUUCUAUUGUCUACGGAAACGUUAAGCUUUUCUGUAGACAUAGAAGGUCAAGGGACAGUGGGCACCAUAAAGACCACACAUCUCAACCUCGUCAUUAUGUUACUCACAAAAAAUCAAAACAUAGAUUAGCCAAUUUAUUUUCCCAAUAUAGUAAACUUGUAAAAUGAAAUCCCAGAUCUUCACAAGCUUGAGGUUUCUGAAAAACUUCUGCAUACUUUUUAAUGGAGAUAAUAUGGCAAAGGGCUUGUCCCCACAGACUUCAUUCCAUAUCUCUGCUGGAUGUCAGGAAUUGCAUGCUAGGGAUAAAACGGGACUGAGACACAAUUUUGCCCCCAAAGAGCUUAAUGAUCUUAGAAUCUACCAGAGGCAUGAAAAGGUGGAAGGCCCUGGUUUGGGUAGAUGUCAUCUCUGCCCAUGUAAGAAAGAAAAGUAGGGAUGGUGGAGAUUUGAACUAAAUGACACCUCUGCUCCGGCUGAUUCUGUCUUCUCUGAACACUCUUUCUCAAAAGGCAAAGAGAUGACUUUGUGUUCAGAACACUGGAAAAACAAAUCUUGGCUCAGCCAUUUACCUCUUUGCAUCUCGAUUUCUUUAUCUGUAAAUAAGGAUGAUAGUAAUACCUAUCUCCUGGAAUUAGGACAAUGUACAUAGUAAGAUAGAGCCUCUGACGUGUGCAUUUUAGGGGGAGGAGAACUUAAAGUCACCAGGAGCCUUCAGAGAAUCUGAUUUGCCCCUUCUAUUUAUCUUGCAUGGUUUUUCUCCCUCAAUUUGCCCUUCGAGGAUAGGAGAAAACUUCCCACAAACGCUUCCUCUUGUGCCUUUUGGAUCUGGUGGCUACCAGACUGCCGUUGGCAAUGCAAACCCCUUAGAGAUCAAGGGAAGUUAUAGCAGCACCCACUGCAGGCUCCUCCGACAUGAUUGGAGUGUGGCUGCCAGCCCUUCAGUCCAGGCCAAGUCUCCCGCAGAUGAUGAAGAGCGAAUCUUCAGCCUCAGUGUUCAGGGUUUCCACUCCACCCUCACUGCUCAUCCUCUGCCGCAGGGACACCAACAAGGGCUUGAACAAUGGGUUAAGCAAUGCCACGCACUCCACUGGGGAAUAAUUGGGUGCUUCAUAGUUCUUUUUUAUUAUUAUAAAUAAUGAUGGUUUUCUUUAUUAUAGAAAGGAUACAUGAUAGUUUUUAAUCAGAAAAAGAAAAAUGUUGAACUGUAAAUACGAUUUUGAAACUUCACCAUCUUUUAGAUGCAAGCAUGCCAAUGAAUUGUUGAAAAAAAGCUUUGAAUAUAAUGGUUUGCUAAAAUUAGAUCAAUGAAUAUCAGUAUUUUAUCAUCAUUGUUUUAUGAAAAAUGCUUUUCUUGGCUUAAGCUUUUAGGUAUCACAAUAAUAAAAAUUGUAUUCAGAGGAUACAUUUGCCUUAUUGCAGGUAUCUUGAUUGGAUAUGUAUAUUAUUAUGUAUAUUUAGUAUAAUAUGUGUAUUUAAUGCCCAUAAAGUUGGGAAACAUAAUUGAAUAUGCAUUUUGUUAAGGGCAUCUUUGAUCUGUAAUCGUAAUAAAUUACUAUCUAGUACUAUAUACUUUCUGGACAUUGUGAAAUACAAAAAUAAAUGCCUUCAAAGAGUUCACAGUCUAGUUGGGGAAACAACCAUUUCAUUGCUGCCAGAAACUGACCUCAUUGUCCUGCCAGCAACUACUGACUGUGGUCCAAGAUUCUAAUAAAAGACAUCCAACUCACAAAUCAACUCCAUGGUGGAGGUGAUCAAAUUAUAGAUGAGACAUAGUUGUACACUUACCACUAGUUCUAUUGUCUUCUUUUUCUUCCUCUAAUACUAUACCAGGUAUUGCUUUCUCAAGGUUAAACGGAGGGCCGCUGAGACUUUGUCGUACUCACACACUAUGAUAUAGUUAGUCUUGAGGAAAUUAUUCACAUAGAUCGAGCCAGUUGGGUUUUUAAAUGAUCAGAUUGUUUAUCCGUAGAAUAUUUUGCACAUAUUACCUGAAUAUAUGCCUUGGUUCUUUCUUUCAUUCAUGUUAUAAAUGUAUCCACAGGGAAGAUUGAGUCAUAAUCAAAAGAAUGUUUGUUUAUCUACUUAUGAGGUACACUAGAAAAAGGCAUCUUUAUCCAAAUCUGGGUUGCUUGGCAACUGCAUCAGCUUUCCAUGCUAGUUAACCGGCUGUGAAUGGAGCCUGAUAGAGUCCAAGGAUCAUGCUAACACUCAUAGUCACAGGAGGCCUAGAACCAAGGAAUUUCCCCCUCUGUGAUCAAGUUCUCAUGUUGGCAGCUGAGAAAGCCACUGACAGCUGGGGAGUUAUUUUCUCCUUUAGUCACAAGAUGAUGGAGAUAAUCUUGGACGGGAAGUGUGGGGGAGAAGAGGAGACAAGUGCUGGCGGCUCCAACCAGAAUUGGACAAAGGGAAGCACAGAGGUACUGCACAUCACCACUGUCCACCAAGAGCAACGUAUAAUUGGAAUGACCUUCAUUUUAAGUUGUGAACUGUGGAGCCAGAAUAAGCCGUGUGAUACACAGACCCAAAUUAGAUGCCAUUUUAACAUCGACAGAGAAUAUUGGCUUUUUAGAGAUUCAUCUUUAUGUUUGUUGUUUGGAGAUUUUGCUCUAAGUAGAUAUCAAUUACGUUUUCCCCUUUUUCCAUUUUGUCUGCAAUUAUUUUCCUGGCAUUCAUUCAAUAGAGAGCUUCAAGUCAUGUUUUCAGAUUGAAAUAAACUUUGAUGAAAAUUGAAAAUCAAUGCUUUCCUUCUAAUAAUGUUAGCAAAAUGGGAAAA